UACGACUACAUAUCAGGCAUAUCAAUAAGCGGAGGAAAAGAAACUAACAAGGAUUCCCUCAGUAACGGCGAGUGAAGCGGGAAGAGCUCAAAUUUGAAAUCUUCAAGGUUCUACCUUGACGAAUUGUAGUUUAAAGAAGUGUUUUCUGUUAGAUGAGUAGCAAAAGUUCCUUGGAAUGGGACAUCAUAGAGGGUGAGAAUCCCGUAUUUGGUUAUUCAUUCUAGCUUUGUGAUACACUUUCAAAGAGUCGGAUUGUUUGGGAAUGCAGUCCAAAAUGGGUGGUAAAUUUCAUCUAAAGCUAAAUAUUGGCGAGAGACCGAUAGCGAACAAGUACCGUGAGGGAAAGAUGAAAAGAACUUUGAAAAGAGAGUUAAACAGUACGUGAAAUUGUCAAAAGGGAAGCGUUUGACACCAGUGUUGUUUUUCCAAAAAUCAAUUACGAAUGGCUUGAUUUUGUGUUGUAUUGACCUUAUCAGCUUUCUUCACUUUUUUCGAGUCUUUCUUAAUGCACUUUUUGGUUAACAAGUCAACAUCAAUUUCUUUUGUCGUAAAAGAGUAUUCGGAAGGUGGCUUUCUUUUCGGAGAAAGUGUUUAUAGCCCUAUACUUCUACAAUCGGAGAGAUUGAGGUCUGCAGCGUAGAUCCUUCGGGGUUAGAUACACUUGUGCUAAGUUGUAGCUUUUCAUAGACAACUUGUUGACUAUGUUUAGUCAUGCGGCUUACUCGCUUGUGCUAUUUUACCUACGCUUAGGAUGUUGAGUAGCGACAUACGCAC
rnacentral:rRNA from 1 species